rnacentral:tRNA from 1 species
GCCGGGAUGGCGGAAUGGUAUACGCGCGACACUUAAAAUGUCGUGACCGUUAGGUCAUGAGGGUUCGAUCCCCUCUCCCGGCA